rnacentral:rRNA from 1 species
AUUGAACGCUGGCGGCAGGCUUAACACAUGCAAGUCGAACGAGUGGCGGACGGGUGAGUAAUGAUUGGGAAUCUAGCUUCUGGAGGGGGAUAACUACGGGAAACUGUAGCUAAUACCGCGUACCAUAGGAUGAGCCCAAGUGGGAUUAGGUAGUUGGUGAGGUAAAGGCUCACCAGGCCGACGAUCUCUAGCUGGUCUGAGAGGAUGACCAGCCACACUGGGACUGAGACACGUCCCAGACUCCUACGGGAGGCAGCAGUGGGGAAUAUUGCGCAAUGGGGGCAACCUGACGCAGCCAUGCCGCGUGAAUGAAGAAGGCCUUCGGGUUGUAAAGUUCUUUCGGUAGCGAGGCGUUAACUACAGAAGAAGCACCGGAGAAAAACGUGCCAGCAGCCGCGGUAAUUC